ensembl:lncRNA
AUGGAGAAGCUCUAUACAGUCAGCAAAAACAAGACCAGGAGUGACUGUGGCUCAGAUCAUGAACUCCUUAUUGCCAAAUUCAGACUGAAACUGAAGAAAGUAGGGAAAACCACUAGACCAUUCAGGUAUGACCUAAAGCAAAUCCCUUAUGAUUAUACAGUGGAAGUGAGAAAUAGAUUUAAGGGACUAGAUCUGAUAGAUAGAGCGCCUGAUGAACUAUGGAUGGAGGUUCGUGACAUUGUACAGGAGACAGGGAUCAAGACCAUCCUCAUGGAAAAGAAAUGCAAAAAAGCAAAAUGGCUGUCUGGGGAGGCCUUACAAAUAGCUGUGAAAAGAAGAGAAGUGAAAAGCAAAGGAGAAAAGGAAAGAUAUAAGCAUCUGAAUGCAGAGUUCCAAAGAAUAGCAAGAAGCAAUAAGAAAGCCUUCUUCAGCGAUCAACGCAAAGAAAUAGAGGAAAACAACAGAAUGGAAAAGACUAGAGAUCUCUUCAAGAAAAUCAGAGAUACCAAAGGAACAUUUCAUGCAAAGAUGGGCUCGAUAAAGGACAGAAAUGGUAUGGACCUAACAGAAGCAGAAGAUAUUAAGAAGAGGUGGCAAGAAUACACAGAAGAACUGUACAGAAAAGAUCUUCACAACCCAGAUAAUCACAAUGUUGUGAUCACUGACCUAGAGCCAGACAUCCUGGAAUGUGAAGUCAAGUGGGCCUUAGAAAGCAUCACUACGAACAAAGCUAGUGGAGGUGAUGGAAUUCCAGUUGAGCUCUUUCAAAUCCUAAAAGAUGAUGCUGUGAAAGUGCUGCACUCAAUAUGCCAGCAAAUUUGGAAAACUCAGCAGUGGCCACAGGACUGGAAAAGGUCAGUUUUCAUUCCAAUCCCAAAGAAAAGCAAUGCCAAAGAAUGCUCAAACUACCGCACAGUUGCACUCAUCUCACAUGCUAGUAAAGUAGUGCUCAAAAUUCUCCAAGCCAGGCUUCAGCAAUAUGUGAACCGUGAACUUCCUGAUGUUCAAGCUGGUUUUAGAAAAGGCAGAGGAACCAGAGAUCGAAUUGCCAACAUCUGUAGUAUCAUUGAAAAAGCAAGAGAGUUCCAGAAAAACAUCUAUUUCUGCUUUAUUGACUAUGCCAAAGCCUUUGAUUGUGUAGAUCACAAUCAACUGUGA